rnacentral:rRNA from 1 species
GACGAACGCUGGCGGCGUGCUUAACACAUGCAAGUCGAACGGAAAGGCCCUGCUUUUGUGGGGUGCUCGAGUGGCGAACGGGUGGGUAACACGUGAGUAACCUGCCCUUGACUUUGGGAUAACUUGAGGAAACUGGGGCUAAUACCGGAUAGGAGCUCCUGCUGCAUGGUGGGGGUUGGAAAGUUUCGGCGGUUGGGGAUGGACUCGCGGCUUAUCAGCUUGUUGGUGGGGUAGUGGCUUACCAAGGCUUUGACGGGUAGCCGGCCUGAGAGGGUGACCGGCCACAUUGGGACUGAGAUACGGCCCAGACUCCUACGGGAGGCAGCAGUGGGGAAUAUUGCACAAUGGGCGGAAGCCUGAUGCAGCAACGCCGCGUGCGGGAUGACGGCCUUCGGGUUGUAAACCGCUUUCGCCUGUGACGAAGCGUGAGUGACGGUAAUGGGUAAAGAAGCACCGGCUAACUACGUG